rnacentral:rRNA from 1 species
UUGGAUGGCGGUAGCGAAGAGGUCCCACCCGUUACCAGACCGAACACGGGAGUUCAGCUCUUCAGCGCCGAUGGUAGUCGGGAGUUUCCCACUGUGGGAGUAGGACGCGGCCAAGC